rnacentral:rRNA from 1 species
CACACGACCGUACCGCAAACCGACACUGGUGCGCGAGAUGAGUAUUCUAAGGCGCUUGAGAGAACUCAGGAGAAGGAACUCGGCAAAUUGACACCGUAACUUCGGAAGAAGGUGUGCCUUUAGUAGGUGAAGUCCCUCGCGGAUGGAGCCCAAUGAGGUUGCAAAGAAUCGGUGGCUGCGACUGUUUAUUAAAAACACAGCACUCUGCAAACACGAAAGUGGACGUAUAGGGUGUGACGCCUGCCCGGUGCUGGAAGAUUAAAUGAUGGGGUGCAAGCUCUUGAUUGAAGUCCCAGUAAACGGCGGCCGUAACAAUAACGGUCCUAAGGUAGCGAAAUUCCUUGUCGGGUAAGUUCCGACCUGCACGAAUGGCGUAACGAUGGCCACACUGUCUCCUCCUGAGACUCAGCGAAGUUGAAAUGUUUGUGAUGAUGCAAUCUCCCCGCGGAAAGACGGAAAGACCCCAUGAACCUUUACUGUAGCUUUGUAUUGGACUUUGAACAGAUCUGUGUAGGAUAGGUGGGAGGCUUUGAAGCAGGGUCGCUAGAUCUUGUGGAGCCAACGUUGAAAUACCACCCUGGUGUGUUUGAGGUUCUAACCUAGGCCCGUAAUCCGGGUUGGGGACAGUGCAUGGUAGGCAGUUUGACUGGGGCGGUCUCCUCCCAAAGUGUAACGGAGGAGUUCGAAGGUACGCUAGUUACGGUCGGACAUCGUGACGAUAGUGCAAUGGCAUAAGCGUGCUUAACUGCGAGACUGACAAGUCGAGCAGAUGCGAAAGCAGGACAUAGUGAUCCGGUGGUUCUGUAUGGAAGGGCCAUCGCUCAACGGAUAAAAGGUACUCUGGGGAUAACAGGCUGAUACCGCCCAAGAGUCCAUAUCGACGGCGGUGUUUGGCACCUCGAUGUCGGCUCAUCUCAUCCUGGGGCUGUAGCCGGUCCCAAGGGUAUGGCUGUUCGCCAUUUAAAGAGGUACGUGAGCUGGGUUUAAAACGUCGUGAGACAGUUUGGUCCCUAUCUUCCGUGGGCGCUGCAGAUUUGAGGAAGCCUGCUCCUAGUACGAGAGGACCGGAGUGGACGCACCUCUGGUGUAUCGGUUGUCACGCCAGUGGCAUUGCCGAGUAGCUAUGUGCGGAAGAGAUAACCGCUGAAAGCAUCUAAGCGGGAAACUCGUUUCAAGAUGAGAUCUGCCGGGGCCUUGAGCCCCCUGAAGAGUCGUUCAAGACCAGGACGUUGAUAGGUCGGGUGUGGAAGCGCAGUAAUGCGUUAAGCUAACCGAUACUAAUUGCUCGUGCGGCUUGACCCC